rfam:Ictidomys tridecemlineatus contig097823, whole genome shotgun sequence.
GGGGUUGUGGCUCAGUGGUAGAGCACUUGCUUGGCAUAUGCAAGGCGCUGGGUUUAAUCUUCAGCACCA